AUUGAACGCUGGCGGCAGGCCUAACACAUGCCAGUCGAACGGUAACAGGAAGCAGCUUGCUGCUUCGCUGACGAGUGGCGGACGGGUGAGUAAUGUCUGGGAAGCUGCCUGAUGGAGGGGGAUAACUACUGGAAACGGUAGCUAAUACCGCAUAAUGUCGCAAGACCAAAGAGGGGGACCUUCGGGCCUCUUGCCAUCGGAUGUGCCCAGAUGGGAUUAGCUUGUUGGUGGGGUAACGGCUCACCAAGGCGACGAUCCCUAGCUGGUCUGAGAGGAUGACCAGCCACCCUGGAACUGAGACACGGUCCAGACUCCUACGGGAGGCAGCAGUGGGGAAUAUUGCACAAUGGGCGCAAGCCUGAUGCAGCCAUGCCGCGUGUAUGAAGAAGGCCUUCGGGUUGUAAAGUACUUUCAGCGGGGAGGAAGGGAGUAAAGUUAAUACCUUUGCUCAUUGACGUUACCCGCAGAAGAAGCACCGGCUAACUCCGUG
rnacentral:rRNA from 1 species